rnacentral:tRNA from 1 species
GUCUGCGUAGCCCAAUCGGUAGAGGCAAAGGACUUAAAAUCCUUCCAGUGUGGGUUCGAGUCCCACCGCAGACACCA